AUGAAUUUCUUGGCCUGGAACUGUCGAGGAUUGGGGUUGGACUCGACGGUAGGCGAACUCAGGGACCUGAUACGGUCAUACAACCCAGCGAUGGUUUUUCUUUCUGAAACAAAAAAGAAAGCGAGGGCGAUGGAAAAGCUUAAGUGGAGUUUGGGUUUUAGAAGCAGAGUUGCGGUUGAUUGCCAAGGUUUGAGCGGAGGGCUAGCUCUUUGGUGGAGAGAUAAUGUG
rnacentral:rRNA from 1 species